rnacentral:rRNA from 1 species
AUGCCAACACACAAGGGGAUGAGGAGGAGCCUCGUGCUGAGGACCCUGGAGCGGUGCAAGUCCGGUACUGGGUGGAGCGGCGGCGCAGCGCCGGCGGUGGCCGCCGGGUGCUUCUCGGUCUACGUCGGGCCGGAGCGUGAGCGGUUCAUGGUGCGCACGGACUGCGCCAACCACCCGCUGUUCCGGCGGCUCCUCGACGACGCCGAGCGCGAGUACGGGUGCGCGUCGCAGGGCCCGCUCGCGCUGCCGUGCGACGUCGACGCGUUCCUCGACGUCCUGUGGCCAGAUGGACCACGGAGACGACGACGACGGCAGUGCCGGCGGGGAAGAGAUUCCGAAGGCGGCGUUGCCGAUAUGCGGCUUGCUGCUGGGUAG